rnacentral:rRNA from 1 species
UACGUAGGGAGCAAGCGUUGUCCGGAAUUACUGGGUGUAAAGGGAGCGUAGACGGCAACACAAGUCUGAAGUGAAAUGCCGGGGCUUAACCCCGGAACUGCUUUGGAAACUGUGCAGCUGGAGUGUCGGAGAGGCAAGUGGAAUUCCUAGUGUAGCGGUGAAAUGCGUAGAUAUUAGGAGGAACACCAGUGGCGAAGGCGGCUUGCUGGACUGUAACUGACGUUGAGGCUCGAAAGCGUGGGGAGCAA